rnacentral:rRNA from 1 species
GAACGCUGGCGGCAUGCCUUACACAUGCAAGUCGAACGGCAGCGGGGGGAGCUUGCCCCCUGACGGCGAGUGGCGGACGGGUGAGUAACACGUAGGAAUCUACCUUAAUUAUAAUAGUUAGUGGGGGAUAACCCGGGGAAACUCGGGCUAAUACCGCAUAAUCUCUUCAAAGCAAAGCGGGGGAUCUUCGGACCUCGUGCUAUGAGAUGAGCCUGCGUCGGAUUAGCUAGUUGGUAGGGUAAUGGCCUACCAAGGCGACGAUCCGUAGCUGGUCUGAGAGGACGAUCAGCCACACUGGGACUGAGACACGGCC